rnacentral:rRNA from 1 species
CAGAUCACGUGGGGUGUUAGUCGUUGAACAAACGAACCUUUGACAGCUGCUGCGCCGUCGGGAUACCCCGAUCCAACAUCGAGGUCGUAGAUCUUCUUGUUAAUAGGGACUUUUGAGAAGGUGGCGCUGUUAUCCCUGGGGUAGCUUAUUUCAUUGGUCAGUGUGACUGGAUCAGGCUGUGUCUUAGGCUUGUUAGUCUUGGUGAUGUCAGAAGUUAAUUUUUUCUAAAGUUGUCCCAACUAAAAUUAUCGUUCAGUUUGCGUAAACGGGUUAUUAAGUUCCACAGGGUCUUUUUGUCUUGCUCUAGUAUGCCAGCUUUUGUACUGGCAGUUCAACUUCAUUGGCUAGUCUUAGGAGACAGGUUUUCUCUCGUGCUGCCUUUCAUACGAGUCCUCAUUUAAAGGACAAGUGAUUGUGCUACCUUUGCACGGUUUUGGUGCCGCGGCCGUUUAGGGGUUCCACAGGGCAGGCGCUACUUCUAAUAUUUGUUUGGCUAGAAGCUAUGUUUUU